rnacentral:rRNA from 1 species
AUUGAACGCUGGCGGCAUGCCUUACGCAUGCAAGUCGAACGGCAGCACGGGAGCAAUCCUGGUGGCGAGUGGCGAACGGGUGAGUAAAGUAUCGGAACGUGCCCAGUCGUGGGGGAUAACGUAGCGAAAGUUACGCUAAUACCGCAUACGAUCUAUGGAUGAAAGCGGGGGAUCGCAAGACCUCGCGCGAUUGGAGCGGCCGAUAUCAGAUUAGGUAGUUGGUGGGGUAAAGGCUCACCAAGCCGACGAUCUGUAGCUGGUCUGAGAGGACGACCAGCCACACUGGGACUGAGACACGGCCCAGACUCCUACGGGAGGCAGCAGUGGGGAAUUUUGGACAAUGGGCGAAAGCCUGAUCCAGCCAUGCCGCGUGCAGGAUGAAGGCCUUCGGGUUGUAAACUGCUUCUGUACGGAACGAAAAGGUUUGGCCUAAUAAGCUGAGCUCAUGACGGUACCGUAAGAAUAAGCACCGGCUAACUACGUGCCAGCCGCCGCGGUAA